UAAAACCCUAUUAAAUUAGGCUAGAAAACCUCAGAAUAAUAGGAACACCAAGUCAAACGCCAAGGAUCUGUGUUGGAUUUGCGACGUCCGCUUGAGCACUUGCACUUUCGCUUGAGCCCCUAGGACUGGGCGGAAAAACGUCUCCCUGCUACUUGAGCGCCUAUAGCUUCUGCUCGAGCACCAGAACCUAGAGAACUGGUCUUCUUUUGCCGUUUCUUCGUCCUCCUUUUGCAUUUAUGAUUGUAAGCUUGCAAUAAUUUCACAACAAGCGCCCUUGUGGAGGAUAGUAAAUAACUGCCAGAAAAACAAUUCUUGAGUUUACUCAGCAAACAACAUUAUAAUAGAUGAGAGAGAAAUCACAUGCGAGAGUAUAAAGUCAAGAAAUUUGGAAUCGAUAAAAAGGAUGUAUCAAAUCUUGUUCAUCUUUGAUGUGAAGCUUAGACAGAGACAGAUGAAGAAAAUCGUGAUGUUCCUUUUGGAAAGGAAAAGUAAAGAAAAUCGUGAUGUUCCUUUUGGAAAGGAAAAGUAAAUUUUUAUGGGUUAGUGAUGAAUUUAGAUGCAUUGGUGCAAACUAGAAACAUGAAUAGGAAGGAAGUUAUAGCUAACCGUGGUGUUAAAGUAUCGUGCAAAUAUGUUGUCGUUUGUAAAACAGAAAUUAAAAAAAUCAUGUUAAGCCUUGAACAUAUCCAUCACAAUAAACAUUUUUUUUUUGUCGAAA